UCUACCCUUCCAUGCGAGGGGGAGCCGAGGCCCCAGGGGGUCCCUAAGUACCCCUCGGUGGGUUGUUGGACACGAAGCAGACUGCGAGUGGAGAACAAACAGAAAUGUUCUCCAUGACCAGACCGGACACGACACAAGGCGAGACGACCUGACCAAAGAAAACGGAGGAAGAAAAAGCACACACAAUAAACAAGUAUACUUCUUGUGUGCAGACACAGAGGAGGCCAGGUU